UACGUAGGGGGCUAGCGUUGUCCGGAAUCAUUGGGCGUAAAGAGCGUGUAGGCGGCUCGGUAAGUCCGCUCUGAAAGCCCGGGGCUCAACCCCGGGAGGCGGGCGGAUACUGUCGGGCUAGAGUCCGGAAGAGGCGAGUGGAAUUCCUGGUGUAGCGGUGAAAUGCGCAGAUAUCAGGAAGAACACCAAUGGCGAAGGCAAUGUUCUGGCUCGUUUCUGACGCUCAGGUGCGAAAGCCAGGGGAGCGAACGGG
rnacentral:rRNA from 1 species